rnacentral:snoRNA from 14 species
UGAGCUGUGAUGAGAAAGCUAACACGUAAGAAGAGGUAUUCCUUUGUGGGGUAUUUCUUCAAUGAAAUACAUUUGUUACGCUUGGCUUCUGAGCUAU